rnacentral:rRNA from 1 species
UGGGGAAUUUUGGACAAUGGGCGAAAGCCUGAUCCAGCAAUGCCGCGUGUGUGAAGAAGGCCUUCGGGUUGUAAAGCACUUUUGUCCGGAAAGAAAUCCUUGGCUCUAAUACAGUCGGGGGAUGACGGUACCGGAAGAAUAAGCACCGGCUAACUACGUGCCAGCAGCCGCGGUAAUACGUAGGGUGCAAGCGUUAAUCGGAAUUACUGGGCGUAAAGCGUGCGCAGGCGGUUUGCUAAGACCGAUGUGAAAUCCCCGGGCUCAACCUGGGAACUGCAUUGGUGACUGGCAGGCUAGAGUAUGGCAGAGGGGGGUAGAAUUCCACGUGUAGCAGUGAAAUGCGUAGAGAUGUGGAGGAAUACCGAUGGCGAAGGCAGCCCCCUGGGCCAAUACUGACGCUCAUGCACGAAAGCGUGGGGAGCAAACAGGAUUAGAUACCCUGGUAGUCCACGCCCUAAAACGAUGUCAACUAGUUGUUGGGGAUUCAUUUCCUUAGUAACGUAGCCAACGCGUGAAGUUGACCGCCUGGGGAGUACGGUCGCAAGAUUAAAACUUAAAGGAAUUGACGGGGUCAUAGCUGUUUCCU